CGGGUGCACUGAUCCAGCCGGGCCUUUCCCUCUGUGGAACCCCAUGGCCUUCACUGGCUGUGGUGGGGAAACAGGACUUUUACUUUGAAAAAAUUAGAGUGCUCCAGGCAGGCCUAUGCUCGAAUACAUUAGCAUGGAAUAAUAGAAUAGGACGUGUGGUUCUAUUUUGUUGGUUUCUAGGACCGCCGUAAUGAUUAAUAGGGACAGUCGGGGGCAUCAGUAUUCAAUUGUCAGAGGUGAAAUUCUUGGAUCUAUUGAAGACUAACUACUGCGAAAGCAUUUGCCAAGGAUGUUUUCAUUGAUAAGGAACGAAAGUUAGGGGAUCGAAGACGAUCAGAUACCGUCGUAGUCUUAACUAUAAACUAUGCCGACUAGGGAUCGGACGAUGUUAUUCUUUGACGCGUUCGGCACCUUUCGAGAAAUCAAAGUGCUUGGGGCUCCAGGGGGAGUAUGGGUCGCAAGGCUGAAACUUAAAGAAAUUGACGGAAGGGCACCACCAGGGGUGGAACCUGCGGCUUAAUUUGACUCAACACGGGGAAACUCACCAGGUCCAGACACAGUGAGGAUUGACAGAUUGAGAGCUCUUUCUUGAUUCUGUGGGUGGUGGUGCAUGGCCGUUCUUAGUUGGUGGAGUGAUUUGUCUGCUUAAUUGCGAUAACGAACGAGACCUUAACCUGCUAAAUAGCCCGUACUGCUUUGGCAGUUCGCCGGCUUCUUAGAGGGACUAUCGG
rnacentral:rRNA from 1 species